CCAAUAUUUCAGAUAGGAGUUAGUGUUUAAAGUGUUCCUUUACUGGACAGCUCUGAGAGUGGCUCUACACAAAAUCUACUACAAACUGGUUCCUCAGUUAUAAACCACUUCACUCUACUUAUGUCUGUACCUUCCAUUUACUGCUCCGUUUACAUGAAGACUCUGCUGUUCUUGCGCUUUUGAAAAACUGUGAUGGCCGAGUUGGUGUUUAUGGAGACAAAAAUUAACUUGGCAGUAGCCACAUGGUGUCACCAACUGCUACUGGCUCCUAAAGAAAAUGCUAGAUUUCACUAGUUACUACAUGGGCAGUACUGUAGUUUUCUCUCCAAAUUUUGGAAAACAUAUUCACACAUAGUCGCAGACGAGUAUGUCUUCCACAUACUCUUAUGUGGUCGGAAAAGGAGCUAAUCUGUCAGAGCGACUCCAGAUUUUGAAAUUUGAAGUAUUGGGAACUAAAAAGUAUGGCUUACACGUCAGAGGAAGGAACCGUAGGUUGCCUGAUUAUUGUGGCAUUGAUUUAGGUCGUGGCUUGAAUACUACAAUGGAGAAUACAAGAUCAGCACGUUGGAGAUCAGCUAAGGAUGAAAGUUAGUUUAGUUCUUCCAGGAGCAAGUAUCUGGGAGGCCUUUUCAAUAGGGACGAUAUUGACAUGUCAUUUCUGGUUGUUACUCGCUGGAUAGUACCUGCCGGUGCUGCAGCUGGUGGAGUUCUAGUGCUACUAAGCAUAUAGAGAAUCAUGCAAAAGAGGCCUAGGCGGAGAAGGGCAUCUGGGUCUAAUCGAUCAGCCUAACAUAUAGCCGUGUGAGCUGGGUCCAUUAGAUUUUGCCUGCCUAG